GAUGAACGCUAGCGGGAGGCUUAACACAUGCAAGUCGAGGGGCAACAGGUUUUAGCUUGCUAAAAUGCUGGCGACCGGCGCACGGGUGCGUAACGCGUAUGCAACCUACCUAUUAUUAGAGGAUACUCCAUGGAAACGUGGCACAACACUCUAUAGUCUAUUAAAUGGGCAUCCAUUAUAUAGUAAAGGUUACGAUAAUAGAUGGGCAUGCGUAGGAUUAGUUAGUUGGUAAGGUAACGGCUUACCAAGACGAUGAUCCUUAGGGGGCAUGAGAGGGGGAUCCCCCACACGGGUACUGAGACACGGACCAGACUCCUACGGGAGGCAGCAGUGAGGAAUAUUGGUCAAUGGGCGCGAGCCUGAACCAGCCAUCCCGCGUGCAGGAAGAAUGCCCUAUGGGUUGUAAACUGCUUUUGUACUGGGAUAAACCUACCCUCGUGAGGGUAGCUGAAGGUACAGUAUGAAUAAGCACCGGCUAACUCCGUGCCAGCAGCCGCCGUAAAAC
rnacentral:rRNA from 1 species